UAAAUUGAAAUGAAAGGCGAAUGAUAGAGACAUUGUUCGAACUAAAGACUUUUCACUCUUGAUACCAAUCAUUACUUGUUCAAAAGUUUAAGAUAAUAAAAAAUGAUAAAUUUAAUAUUCUAACAUAUUUACCAAAUCAUUUAAGAAAACAAACAUAGUUAUGGUCUUCCUGUAGAUGCACAUGAACCCUUUUCCCUCUAUGAGACAGCUUAAUAUGAAUAGAUACAACACAUUCACGUACCCUCUUCCCCCACCUUUUUUUCUUUUUUCUUUUUUCCUUUUGUAAUACAGAUAAGAUUAUGUAAAAAUUGCAAAAUAAUGGUACAUGAAUUCUCUAAUGUCCAUCCGUUUCACCUUUGCUCCACCAAACACAGAUUUAUAUUCAGAAGACGGGACCAGCUGCAAGGAUCUCCUCAGUCAGCUUGUUAUCCUCUCCAAUCUUGUAAUUCAGGAAU